GGCGGGCGCUGGGGCCGAGUCCGGACCGCGCCCGGUGCGGGACCGGGGCCCCGCCGGGCUCGGUCCUGCUCCAGCCACUCACCCGACACCUGCCGGGGGAGACUCGAUGCUCUCCCUCCCGUCCCCCUUCCUCUGUGGCUCGCACCCCCCAGUGGAAGAACACGGGGGUUUAAAAAGCCGGUGAAAGGUGUUUGUUCUUUAUUUUCAGAGCACAGGAGGUUCCGAGUUGGAAAGGGCCCCGAGGAUCAUCGAGUCAAACGGUGAUGAGCGAUUGGCCCACGUGGGGACUGAAUUCAGCAUCUUGGCCUUGUCAGCACCCUGCUCCAAGCACCUGAGCAACCUCAGGCUCAUGAGGAAGGAUUUACCACCAGCUGUAAAGGUGCUCAUUCCAUGUCCCUUUCCAAGGAGAAAUGAGCAGGACAAGCCCUGAGGGUUCACUUGGUCCGUGGCCAGAGUUCUUCAGGAGAGUGUCAGGGCUGGUCCCACCUGCAGAGGGGCGUUUCCUGCAGGCCCUGCUUGUGAGUCAUUCCAUGCUUUGCCAUUGGACUUUGGACAAAGGAGGGGAAGGAUCUGUUCCACAUAGGUGUCAUCCAAUGCUCGGCUCUAGUGCUUUCCUUGGGAAAGGAUGUACUGGAAUAAAAAAAGUAGUCCCGGCCCACAUGGUACCUACCCAGAGGAGGUCACUGCUCUGUUCCUGGCAGAGGGAGACCUGCUGGCAUCUGAGUGGCUCAAUACUGGGCCAUGUUGCAGCAACACGGGAGGGCUGGACUUGGUGCCUUCUCUCCUUUCCUGUUCUGAGAGCAGGAGCAGGUGGGCUUGCCCAGAAGCUGUGUGUAAGAGGAGAGAAGAGGACAUUUGUCAGGGCCCAACCAUGA
rnacentral:lncRNA from 1 species